rnacentral:lncRNA from 1 species
UGAAGACACUAAUGGUGUGAACCUACAUUGUGUACAUCCAGAGACUUGAAAAUUUCGUGCUCUCUAUAUGUAAUUAGAAUUGAGUUGCAUUCUGCCAUCAUAUAUAACAAAUUAGGAUAAAUAAAGAAUUAAGAAAAAAAGGCCAAAAGCAUCUGAAAAUUUCAUUAAGCCUUCUGACAGGCAUGAAAAGCAUAUAUAUUUUAUUAUAAAUUCUUUUUCUUUUUCUUUCUUUGUAUAUUGGAACAUUAUUAAUAUCAAAAAUUGUAAAAUAUGUUUAGUAUUGUCUUUAGAUAUAGUCAAGCAGGAUCAUUGCCCCUUGAAAAUAUCUAAAUCUCCUUUUUGUGGCUAGAAAAUCCUGGGGCCUGUGAUUUUAUCCCAGAAAUGUACUCUAACAUGAGACCAGGACUUGUGUUGCCCCCAGUCUCUGUUUCCACCACUGGCCUGCUAUUCUACUUCCUAAUUCUCAUCUGAGGUAUAGACAUGCCCCAAAGUAUGGUUAUUGAAUCUGCAUCUACAAAUUGUCUCAGAGCUGUCGCAGAGCCUCAGUUCAAGGUGGGCUGCCUGGUUGGUUGGUACUUAUUUUUUACAGAAUCAAAUGAUGAUGGGACACUAAAAGGUACUUACCUCUUGAUUUUAGGUGCAAUAAAUGCUUUUAAUGAAAAGGGAGCAACACUCAAAAUAAUUAUUUUCUCAGGGCUUUGCACCCUAUAAGGGAAGCCAAGGAAAUUCUUAAAUAAUUUUCAGAAUAGUAAAAUGGGGUUUAAAUUUUUUGUGAUAAGAAGUAAAUGUUGAUUCUGGUAGGUUUGAGGAUCACUGUAUCUGACUAAGCAUAGGAAGGCAUUUCUUCUUACCUCUGCAAUAUUACUUGAGAUCAUAGGAAAAGUCAGAUGGAGGGAAGAAGUUUCUGAGUGUAAAGUAUUUAAGGAGCAUAUAAUCACUGCUCUUUUCUUUUUGUCAGGAAUUCUAGCAACUCUUUUUGUGAAUGGAAUCCUGUCUUGGAAAUUGACAAAGCACUCCCUACUAGGGACAACAUUGGCAUCUGCCAUUAGAAUCUAAUUUUGUGUUUGAGCAUCCCUAUGUCCAAAAUGUAAUUUGAAUUAACAAAAUAUGCCUUGAAGCAACAGGGAGAGAAAAGCAAUCCAAUCUCCCUAAGAUAAAUCUUGAAGAGUUAAAAAACAAAAAGAAACAAAUAAUAAAACCACAGUAUCAAAUAAUUCCACGUGCAAAAUAUUUCUAAGGUCUCUGCAAUUUUGGUAAAGAGGAAUGAAACACUGUGUAUUUACUCAUUAAGGAUGGAUUAUAAAUUA